rnacentral:rRNA from 1 species
UACGGGGGGGGCAAGCGUUGUUCGGAAUUACUGGGCGUAAAGGGCUCGUAGGCGGCCAACUAAGUCAGACGUGAAAUCCCUCGGCUUAACCGGGGAACUGCGUCUGAUACUGGAUGGCUUGAGUGUGGGAGAGGAAUGCGGAAUUCCAGGUGUAGCGGUGAAAUGCGUAGAUAUCUGGAGGAACACCGGUGGCGAAGGCGGUGGUCUGGGCCGGCACUGACGCUGAGGAGCGAAAGCGUGGGGAGCGAACAGG